AGAUAGGCUUGAGCACAACCCUUUCUUGGAUCCUCACUUGACUUACAUUGUGUUGAUCUCGUGAUCCGUGUAUAUUUUGAGUUUAAUUUUAUCCUUUUAAGAGUUAAAGAUUAUCAAUUUUGAUUUGCUUUUGAACCCUCCUUCAAUUUCCCUUCUUUGUGCCUAACAUCUCUACUAGUAUGUCCAUAUUUGUAUUCCUACCAUCUUUGUAACUAUAUACCUUAAAAAAUUAGGUGCAAAAGUUACCGAUUUGAAACCCAAAGCCCAUUGCCUGCGGACGCAUGAGUGUAUGAGUGUACCGAAAGAGCAGGGUUCCGCAGAAUUUCCUGAUCAAGCGCCAAUUUCCGCCAACGAAUUGCAAAAUGCAGAGACUUCGUGUGCUGCCGAUUGUCGCUGCUCAUCUAUUUUUUGCAUUUUUCACCAUCACUUCAGCUCAGGAUUCCCAUCUCGGAUCUGCUCGUGUAGUAUUUCAGACGAAUUAUGGCGAUAUCGAAUUCGGUUUCUACCCGAAGGUAGCACCCAAAACCGUUGACCACAUCUUCAAACUUGUUCGUCUCGGAUGCUAUAACACCAAUCACUUCUUUCGGGUUGACAAAGGGUUUGUGGCGCAAGUGGCAGAUGUAGUGGGGGGAAGAUUAGCUCCCAUGAAUGAGGAGCAAAGAGUGGAAGCUGAGAAGACUGUUGUUGGUGAAUUUAGUGAUGUUAAACAUGUUAGAGGUAUUCUUUCUAUGGGGAGAUAUGAUGAUCCAGACAGUGCUCAAUCCUCUUUUUCUAUGCUACUGGGAGAUGCUCCUCACCUUGAUGGAAAAUAUGCAAUCUUUGGAAAAGUUACCAAAGGCGACAAUACAUUGAAAAAACUUGAAGAACUUCCUACUCGCCGUGAGGGUAUAUUUGUAAUGCCAACUGAGCGCAUAACAAUAUUAUCAUCAUACUAUUACGAUACCAAUUUGGAGAGUUGUGAAGAGGAGAGAUCAACCUUGAAGCAAAGGCUUGCUGCGUCUUUUGUCGAGAUUGAAAGACAGAGAAUGAAAUGCUUCCCCUAAAAUGAGCGGGACGACAAAAACUCUGACAGGGAAAACUAGAAGAGAAAUGCAAAUAGAAACGAUUUGAGUAUUGGAAAAUGUUGAAAGCAAGGGAUUAUAAUCCUUUGAUAUCAAACCAUGCAAUGCAACUCUCUUUGCACUUGAUAUCUUUGUCUAGCCUGGAACAAUCUUGGGAUCAAUUAAGAUGGAUCCUUGAAAUUGACAAAUUUUCUGAAGGCCCCACAUUCAGCAAGCAUUGGGUCCACAGUUCUAUCAUCAAAUUUAAAUUUAGAAUGUGUUUGCUUUGACUUUUUGAAUGAUGCAAGAUACUCAUUGUGAAAAAUUAAUCCAUCCCAUCAUAAACUUCUUUUCUCAAACUCCAAGUGAGCCUUC